GUUUGACUGGGGCGGUCGCCUCCCAAAAGGUAACGGAGGCGUCCAAAGUUACCCUCAGCCCGGUUGGAAACCGGGUGUCGAGUACAAAGGUAUAAGGGUGAUUUACUGCGAGAGAAACAGCUCGAGCAGUUGCGAAAGCAGGGCUUAGUGACCCUUUGGCAGCGUAUGGGUGCGCCAAAGAUCAUCGGAUAUAAGCUACCCUGGG
rnacentral:rRNA from 15 species